rnacentral:rRNA from 1 species
AACGAACGCUGGCGGCAUGCCUAACACAUGCAAGUCGAACGAACCCUUCGGGGUUAGUGGCGCACGGGUGCGUAACGCGUGGGAAUCUGCCCAAAGGUUCGGAAUAACACAGAGAAAUUUGUGCUAAUACCGGAUAAUGUCUUCGGACCAAAGAUUUAUUGCCUUUGGAUGAGCCCGCGUUGGAUUAGCUUGUUGGUGGGGUAACGGCCCACCAAGGCGACGAUCUAUAGCUGGUCUGAGAGGAUGAUCAGCCACACUGGGACUGAGACACGGCCCAGACUCCUACGGGAGGCAGCAGUGAGGAAUAUUGGACAAUGGGGGCAACCCUGAUCCAGCCAUGCCGCGUGAAUGAAGAAGGCCUUAGGGUUGUAAAAUUCUUUCAGAUGCGAAGAUAAUGACGGUACCAUCAGAAGAAGCUCCGGCUAAAUUCGUGCCAGCAGCCGCGGUAAUG